AAUAUUUAGAAAAAGGCAGUCAAGUGAAAGGGAUUUUUACUUUGAUUUUGAGGUGGAUUUGGAGUCAAGGUUGUGUAGUUUUUUUUGGAGGGAUGG